UAGUACUGCGAGUGAAGCGGGAUGAGCUCAAAUUUAAAAUCUGGCGGCUUUGCCGUCCGAGUUGUAAUCUGGAGAAGCGUUUUCCGCGUCGGACCGUGUACAAGUCUCUUGGAACAGAGCUUCAUAGAGGGUGAGAAUCCCGUCCAUGACACGGACCGCCGAUGCUUUGUGAUACGCUCUCGAAGAGUCGAGUUGUUUGGGAAUGCAGCUCAAAAUGGGUGGUAAAUUCCAUCUAAAGCUAAAUAUUGGCGAGAGACCGAUAGCGAACAAGUACCGUGAGGGAAAGAUGAAAAGCACUUUGGAAAGAGAGUAAAACAGUACGUGAAAUUGUUGAAAGGGAAACGCUUGAAGUCAGUCGCGUUUGCCGGGACUCAGCCUUGCUUCUGCUUGGUGUACUUCCCGGUAGACGGGUCAACAUCGAUUUUGGCCGACGGAUAAAGGGGUUGGGAAUGUGGCACUCUUCGGGGUGUGUU
rnacentral:rRNA from 1 species